CAUGACCCACGAACCAUGAAAAAUGGCCUAGCCUGGGAAAUUGAUAAUUUCUGUAUAUAAUAAUCUUCGGGAUAUAGGCUUUCUAGAAAUGUUUUUCUUUUUUUCAUAUAUUCUAUACUUUUUUGUUAAUAUGACGUUGAAUAUUGUGGUAUUUAAUGUUAAAAAAUUAACAUUUCGGGAUACACGUCACAACAAUAAACCUCCAAUGACCAUGUACAAUGUACAUGAACCUAUAAAUCUCUGAAUUUAUCAAGUUAUAUGCACUCAAAUAGCUAGAAUGGCUUAUUCAAUGAUCAUAAUAAGCAUUUUUGACCAAAUUUGGGAAAUAGAAAUAAGAAAUAUUUUGGAAAUGAUGUUCAAAGCCGUGAUUGUUCAACUUUACUUUUAAAUUAUUUUUACUUGAAUUUUAAAAUACUGAAAUAAGAAGAAUAAAUAUAGUAUGUAGUUUAUUUACAUGGUGAAAGAAGUGAAUCAUUGGAACAAUUCUGUUUCAUAUCAUAUUCCAUAGUUUUGGGUUUUUUUGUUUUCUUUCUUUUUUUUUUUUUUAGUAUUAAAACGACCGAGUAUCGAAAGCAAUGGUAACGAAAUAAGUUGACACCGCGUCUCGUCAAAACAUGUUCAAUUCGAAUUUACUCGGAAUUACACGUUCAACGAGCAUUUGCUGUGAAACCUGAUUAAAGGAAAAUUACUGUAGACACCUAAUAGUGAUUUGUACAGAAGCGAGCCCCGGCAGGAAUGAUGGCCUCUUUUGAAAUGAAGAUUUCAUGCCUUACUCCUACUGGGACUACAACUAACUUUGGACCUGGUCACUCGCAGAUACAGCAUGAAGUGUGCCCUCUUGAUGUACAUGGGGAUGGGAGUGAUACAGAAGGGGGACUAAUUGGAAGAACUGCUGCUGCUGGUGGUGGUGCUGGACUGUCUUGAAUCUGUUGCCUAACCGACUUGAUAUUCUUCUGUUUAAUAUGGGAGCAACACACACACUCUGGCAUAUAUUGCACAGAAAAUCAUGAUCAGAUGGUGCCCUCCCUAUCAGAGUGGUGAUCACUGACCUAUAUUUCUUUGAAAUCCUGGAUCUGUGUUUUGGUUUUACUCUCCAUGGACAGUUGAAACAGAGAAAGAAUUAGGGACCACUCCUUGGCAUAUCUGAAAUAUUUAUGUCAUAUACAUGUAAUUAAAAUAUACAAUUUGGGUUGGAUGAAAAUCUUAUCUUCAUGUUAAAACCCAUUAGCCUAGGUUAUUUUUCCUAAAAUCUAAUUAUAAAUCAAUUAACUUGUUAAUUAAUGCUUGGUGAAUCAAUUAAUAAAUUGUAUUCAAGAACUUGGAAUUAUUUUUUUUCCCACUAAUAAACUGAAAAUGUGUAUCUUCAAA